rnacentral:rRNA from 1 species
AGAAAAAAUUCACUCACCGUAUUUUUAUACGGCUCGUUGAAAUUUUUCACUUUCUUCCUUGUAAAAUGUUUAUGAUCAUAGUCCUGGGAGCGGCAGACGGGAGAGUAACACGUUGAUAACUGCCCCGAAGUCAGGAAUAAGCCUUAGAAAUAGGGUCUAAUGCCGGAUUGUCCCGCAAGGGUAAAGCAGUAAUGCGCUUUGGGAGGUGUCUGCGGCCUAUCAGCUAGUUGGCGAGGUAAUAGCUCACCAAGGCUUUGACGGGUAGCUGGUCUGAGAGGACGAUCAGCCUCAAUGGAACUGAGAUACGGUCCAUACUCCUACGGGAGGCAGCAGUGAGGAAUUUUUCGCAAUGGGGGAAACCCUGACGAAGCAACACCGCGUGGAGGAUGAAGGGCUUUUGUUUGUAAACUCCUUUUUUGAGGGAAUAAAUAUGAAGGUACCUCAAGAAUAAGCAUCGGCUAACUACGUGCCAGNNUUAUUGGGCGUAAAGAGUUCGUAGACGAACUGUUAAGUAGAAUGUAAAAGGCCGGGGCCCAACCCCGGUAGCGUAUUCUAAACUGACAGAAUAGAGCAAUGCAGGGGCAAGUGGAAUUCUGUGUGUAGGGGUAAUAUCCGUAGAUACACAGAGGAACACCAAAAGCGAAGGCAGCUNNAACAGGAUUAGAUACCCUGGUAGUCCACGCCCUAAACUAUGAUUACUCGAUGUCGGGGGAUUCGACCCCUUCGGUGUCUAAGCUAACGCGAUAAGUAAUCCGCCUGGGUAGUACGAUCGCAAGAUUAAAACUCAAAGGAAUAGACGGGGACCCGCACAAGCGGUGGAGCAUCUGGUUUAAUUCGAUACUAAACGAAGAACCUCACCAAGGCUUGACAUCCCGAGAAGAUUGCCGAAAGGCGAUUGUGCCGCAAGGAACUCGGUGACAGGUGCUGCAUGGUUGUCGUCAGCUCGUGCCUUGAGGUGUUCGGUUAAGUCCGUAAACGAGCGCAACCCAUGUCCUAUGUUGUAUUUAUCAUAGGAGACUGCCGGCUCUAAGUCGGAGGAAGGUAUGGAUGACGUCAAAUCAGCAUGGCCCUUAUGCCUUGGGCUACACAGGUGCUACAAUGGGAGAUACAAAAGGCAGCCACACAGCAAUGUGGAGCCAAUCCCAAAAGUCUCUCUUAGUUCGGAUUGAGGGCUGCAAUUCGCCCUCAUGAAGCUGGAAUCGCUAGUAACCGUGAAUCAGCUAUGUCACGGUGAAUAUGUUCCCGGGUCUUGUACUCACCGCCCGUCAAGUCAUGGAAGGUUGGAGUGCCCAAAGUCCCCUUAGUCUUCGGACGGGGGCCUAAGGUAAUACAACUGACUGGGACUAAGUCGUAACAAGGUAUCCGUAGGAGAACCUGCGGAUG